rnacentral:tRNA from 1 species
CGUCCAGGGGCGGGAAUCGAACCCACAACCUUCUCCUUACCUGGCAGGUUGCCAUGUCCACUAGGCUACCCUGGGC